CAGCCAUACUGUGAAUACACCAGUUCUGAUCACUGAAGUUAAGCAUCAUUGAGCUUGGUCAGUACUUAAAUGAGUGACCAUUUGGGAAUAACAGGUGCUGAAA